rnacentral:rRNA from 1 species
AUUGAACGCUGGCGGCAUGCCUUACACAUGCAAGUCGAACGGCAGCACGGGAGCUUGCUCCUGGUGGCGAGUGGCGAACGGGUGAGUAAUACAUCGGAACGUACCCUGAAGUGGGGGAUAACGUAGCGAAAGUUACGCUAAUACCGCAUAUUCUGUGAGCAGGAAAGAGGGGGAUCGCAAGACCUCUUGCUUUAGGAGCGGCCGAUGUCGGAUUAGCUAGUUGGUGAGGUAAAGGCUCACCAAGGCGACGAUCCGUAGCGGGUCUGAGAGGAUGAUCCGCCACACUGGGACUGAGACACGGCCCAGACUCCUACGGGAGGCAGCAGUGGGGAAUUUUGGACAAUGGGCGCAAGCCUGAUCCAGCCAUG